CUCUGAGGUGGACUUUGAACAGCUGCUACUCCUAGUGCACACUCUGCUUCGUGCUUCCGGAUCAAGAAGGGAGCUCUCUGCUCUGCCUGCUGCUGUCCUGAUCUCCAACCCCAGGAAACAAAACGCAUAAUGGGGGAGAGAACCAUCCUUUACCAUCAACUGAAAUCCCAGCAUCUAUAUCAAGGUUCUUCCAGGACUGUUCCUUCUGGCAGCUCAUCCCACUCCCUGUAAUGUAGUUUCUCAACAACUUCUUCUUGCCUCAGGCUACCCUUCCUGGGGAAUCUCCACCUAGCAGAGAGAGUUGCAUACUGGUUCAGGGCACCUCUCCCUGCUGAAUGUGGUUGUUCAUUAACUUACUGAUUAUCUGACUGGUCUCUCUAGACUCCAGCAGAAUACCCGAGAGCUUGCACCCAAAACUUGUGCUCAUAUCUAAAUUGGGGCCAAGAUGAGUAUUGUAUGAUCUUAGAGAAGGCAAGAAUGAAAGAAGAUAAUGUAUAUAAAGAAAGUCCCUUGGCCUCUAUGUCCAGUAUGUUCUUACUGGUUUGGGCAGCCCUAUCCCUAUGGCAUUACUAAUUGUGGCUUCUGUGACCUUACUCUUCAGUGUAUCCAGUUGUUGGCUGCAGGUGUUCCAUGUUCUUUGCACCUCCAAUAGUGAGGGUUCAUAUUCCAGCCAGUGCUUCAUCAUCAUAGCCUGAUGUUUCACUCUCUCAGAGGCUCCUUACAGUGAAUCUAACCCUGCUACACAUUACUCUGAGUUCAAAGGCUUUCUUUAAACUCUAGGUAAAAGCCUCCAUGAUUCCAGAACACCUGCAUUAUCUGUGCCUGGAAAACUAGCAUUAUGUGAAUGAUGCCAGGUUCUGC